rnacentral:tRNA from 1 species
AUUCCCUUAGUAUAAAUAAUAUAAUUAACUUCCAAUUAAUAGAUCUUAGAAAGAGAGAAUA